rfam:Musa acuminata subsp. malaccensis Doubled-haploid Pahang (DH-Pahang) genomic chromosome, chr4
AUGUGUCUGAGAGAGCUUCCUUCAGUCCACUCAUGGAUGGCUCUGGGGUUUGAAUCAACUGCCGACUCAUUCAUUCAAACACUCAGUAGAAAGCUGAGCUACUCUGUGAAUGAGUGAAUGAUGCGGGAGAUUAUUCUCUCUCUUCCAUUCCAUACUUGGACUGAAGGGAGCUCCCUCUUUCUCAUCU